rnacentral:rRNA from 1 species
AAUGAACGCUGGCGGCAGGCCUAACACAUGCAAGUCGAGCGAGAGGCGGACGGGUGAGUAAUGGAUGGGGAUCUGCCUGAUGGAGGGGGAUAAGUGGUGGAAACGUUAGCAAAAACCGCAUAACAGCAGUUGAACCCAUAUGGGAUUAGGUUGUAGGGGAGGUAAAGGCUAACAUAGGCGACGAUCCCUAGCUGGUCUGAGAGGAUGAUCAGCCACACUGGGCCUGAGACACGGCCCAGACUCCUACGGGAGGCAGCAGUGGGGAAUAUUGCGCAAUGGACUCAAGUCUGAUGCAGCCAUGCCGCGUGUAUGAAGAAGGCCUUCGGGUCGUAAAGUACUGUCGUUCGGGAGGCGUUACCUACAGAGAAAGCAACGGCUAACUCCGUGCCAGCAGCCGCGGUAAUAC